GGGAUCGGGAUUGGGAUCGGAGUUUGGGAUUGGGAUUGGGAGUUUGGGAUUGGGAGUUUGGGAUCGGGAGUUUGGGAUUGGGAGUUUGGGAUCGGGAGUUUGGGAUCGGGAUUGGGUGUUUGGGAUGGGGAUUGGGAUCGGGAGUUUGGGAUCGGGAGUUUGGGAUCAAGUGGGUUCUGGGGCUGGAUUUGGGAUUGCGUUCAAGAUUGGGUCUGGAAUUGGAUCAGGGCUUGGAUUCAGAUUCAGUUUGGGAUUGGGCUUGGGACUGGAUUUGGGAUUCAACCUGGGGUCGGAUUUGGGAUUGGGUUUGGAAUUGGAUCUGGGGUUGGAUCUGGGAUUGGGUUUGGGAUUGGGUUCAGAAUUGGGUUUUGGUUCAGAAUUGGGUUCGGGACUGGAUUUGGGAUUGGAUCUGGUGUUGGAUUCAGAUUCAGUUUGGGAUUGGAUCUGGGGUUGGGUCUGGGAUUGGAUUUGGGAUUGGAUUUGGGAUUGGAUUCAGGGAUUGGAGCUGGGAUUGGAUUCAGGGUUGGAUAUGGGAUUGAGUUUGGGACUGGAUUUGGGUUUGGGAUUGGAUUCAGAACUGGAUUUGGGAUUGGAUCUGGGAUUUGAUUUCAAAUUGGAUUCGGGAUUGGAUCUGUGAUUGGAUCUAGGGUUGGAUCUGGGAUUGGAUUCAGGGUUGGAUAUGGGAUUGAGUUUGGGACUGGAUUUGGGUUUGGGAAUGGAUUCAGAACUGGAUUUGGGAUUGGAUUUAGGACUGGAUUUGGGACUGGAUUGGGUUUGGCUCUGUCUCCAUCCAGGACAUCCCAAGGGAAUUCAGCAGCUGGAGCCAUCCCAGCGCACCGGGAACCGGAUCCAAGACAAAAAAAAAAAACCGGGAAGGGAAAAACUCCGGAGCUACUUGAGGGAAAUAUUUUUUCAUGGAAGGAAGGAUUUAUAGGGCUGGGACUGCUCUGCAGCAGAGCAACAUCUGGAACAGAUCCGUUAUCCCGUCCGAACACCGGCGAGGGGAGCCAGGGAUAAAUCCCGGCUGUCGGAACGGGGAUCCCACACACGAAGGGAAUCCGGGAUUCGGGAUUGCCCUCCCAAAUUUCCCCCAUCGGGAUUUCUCCCUUUCCCCUGGGAUUUGGGGGGGGCGGUGGGAGAACCCCAAGGAUUCCAGGGAAGCCUCUGGAAUGCUGGAAAUUUGGGAAUGGCGAUGGAAAACGGAUCCCAAAUAUGGGGAUGGCCCUGGAAAACAUUCCCUGGCAUCUGGAGCAUCCUUGGAUUCAUGGCUGGAUGGGAUGGGACCAUCCCAGAGG
rnacentral:lncRNA from 1 species